UGCGGAAGGAUCAUUAUCGAAUUAUAGGCAAAGGUUGUCGCUGGCCCUCCCUGGGGGCAUGUGCACGCCUGAGCUCAUUAAUCCAAAUUACACCUGUGAACUUAAUGUGGGAUGGUCUCCCUUCGGGGAAGCAAGUCUCAUGUCUUUCAUACACACACACUUGUCUCAGAAUGUCUUAUUAUGUUGUUUGCUUUGACGCAAUCAAAUAAAUAAAUACAACUUUCAACAACGGAUCUCUUGGCUCUCGCAUCGAUGAAGAACGCAGCGAAAUGCGAUAAGUAAUGUGAAUUGCAGAUUUUCAGUGAAUCAUCGAAUCUUUGAACGCACCUUGCGCUCCUUGGUAUUCCGAGGAGCAUGCCUGUUUGAGUGUCAUUAAAUUCUCAACUUUGCUUGUCUUUUUGUGUCGAGCGAAGCUUGGAUUUUGGAGCGUGCUGGCGAAGGUCGGCUCCUCUUUAAAUGCAUUAGCGGAAAGGUCAUAUUUGACUUUUGCGGUGAAUCGGCGUGAUAAUAAUGUUGUUGCGUCGUUGACCCAAAAGCUCUCUGUCCGCUUACAAUGGUCUUCGGACGACUUAUUAUGAAACUUGACCUCAAAUCAGGUAGGACUACCCGCUGAACUUAAGCAUAUCAAUAAGCGGAGGAA
rnacentral:sRNA from 1 species